GGGGCUGUAGCUCAGUUUGGGAGAGCGCUGGAAUCGCACUCCAGAGGUCGAGGGUUCGACUCCCUUCAGCUCCA
rnacentral:tRNA from 1 species